rnacentral:Y_RNA from 1 species
GGUUGGUCCGAAGGUAGCGAGUUAUCUCAAUUGACUGUUCACAGUCAGUUACAGACCGAACUCCUUGUUCUACUCUUUCCUCCCUUCUCACUACUGCACUUAGUCAAGUAGUGACUAAUCUCAA